rnacentral:rRNA from 1 species
UUGGAGGGCAAGUCUGGUGCCAGCAGCCGCGGUAAUUCCAGCUCCAAUAGCGUAUAUUAAAGUUGUUGCAGUUAAAAAGCUCGUAGUUGAAUUUCGGGAUCAAUACGUCGGUCGUGCCUUCGGUACGCACUGGCGUUGUUGAUUCCUCCCUUCUGACGAACCAUGAUGUCAUUAAUUUGAUGUCGUGGGGAAUCAGGACUGUUACUUUGAAAAAAUUAGAGUGUUUAAAGCAGGUUCACGCUUGAAUACAUUAGCAUGGAAUAAUGAAAUAGGACGUUCGAUUCUAUUUUGUUGGUUUCUAGGAUCAACGUAAUGAUUAAUAGGGAUAGUUGGGGGCAUUAGUAUUCAAUUGUCAGAGGUGAAAUUCUUGGAUUUAUUGAAGACUAACUACUGCGAAAGCAUUUGCCAAGGAUGUUUUCAUUAAUCAAGAACGAAAGUUAGGGGAUCGAAGACGAUCAGAUACCGUCGUAGUCUUAACCAUAAACUAUGCCGACUAGGGAUCGGAUGAUGUUAAUUCUUUAAUGACUCAUUCGGCGCCUUACGGGAAAC